CUAAUUAUAAAGACAAAUUCUGUACUUUUCAUCCACAAAAUUCCCAAAUUCCAAAAUUUUCGAUCUCUCAUUCUCCAUUCUCAUCUGAAGCAAUUGAUCUGAAAUCUUCUUCAUUUUUGACUUUGUAAUUUUCAUCUCCGUCUUUCGUCCGUCAUGGAUUGCUAACCCUUUUGUCACCGCCUCAAGAUGGUGGUCCUUUCUCCUAUGUAGCCUCCUCUGGUUAGAACAUGGGGCACUAUCUGCUGCAUUGACAGGGUACAGAACAAGGUUCCCAUUAUUUUGCAUUUUGAGGAAAAUCGCGAAUGAAUCACAUACUUCCGAGGCACUCAGGAACACCUCUUUUCUAGCUGAUAUAUGCUGACCAGGUGAAUCCGGUGUAGCUAAGCACUCUUUUGUGAAAAUUCAGGUCCUUCAAAGACAAGAAAAGUUCGUGGACCUACUUUAUUAAAAGAUGUAUGGAAUAUACCACUUGGAAAGACAAUUAUUGUGUGAUUUAAUAGUCGUAAUUAGUCAAUUGGAAAAGAGGGACGAAAGCUGGCUAGUUUUCUAGGGAUAGCUGCUAGAACUCCAGAUUUGACACCGUUAAAUGCAAAUGAUUGGCGAUAGUUGAUGACGAAGAAAAGACAAAGUUUGUGGAAUUUUUAAUGAAAAAGCUCUCCAUUCUGAAAUGCGGAGAAGAGUUCGUGAAGAAGUCAAUAGGAAAAAAAUGAAGGGACUAUAAAUGUCACUUGAAGGCGAUUUAUGUGACAAAGUAUAAGACCAAAUAUGCAUUGAUGAAAAAUAAACCAGCUCAUAUACCAAGGGAUUAAUGAGGAAUGGUCUCGUUUCGUAUUGGUUUUCUGAAAAAGAAAAGGAACAGAUAUUUUAUUUCUCAUCCUAGAAGUGUAAUCAAACAAAUAGAAUCAGUAGAGCUAACAAAAAAUGGCUCACACGGGUGGAUCCAAAAGCAUGGCAACCUUGAUGAAUGAACAAGCUAUAGAUGGAACAGAGCCCACACGUGCAAAAAUCUACAUAUUAACACAUACAAUGUGUAGAGAUGGUAGACUAUUGGAUGAGGAGUCCUCAAAUGCCUUUCACAACAAGCUUCUCUUCGGAUAUCAAUAUAAGUUGGCUCUACUAAAGAUCAUCUUGAUAUUACAUAUUAUCGUGAUCCAACUUGGUAUACCUUCAGUGCCUCAAUUUUCUUGUUUUUUUUACUGCUGAACACAUUUUUUAAAAUUUGUUUUGACAAGAACAAAAUCUUAUAGAUGUUCAUAUUUUUUUUACCACGAGAAGACAAGAAAGUGGAUGUAUUAAGUUUUAUUGUUCUUUCUUUUAAAUGAAUGACGUGGUUUGAUUUU